CCUACGGGUGGCAGCAGUGAGGAAUAUUGGUCAAUGGCCGAGAGGCUGAACCAGCCAAGUCGCGUGAGGGAAGACGGCCCUACGGGUUGUAAACCUCUUUUGUCGGGGAGCAAAGAGAGUCACGUGUGACUCAUUGAGAGUACCCGAAGAAAAAGCAUCGGCUAACUCCGUGCCAGCAGCCGCGGUAAUACGGAGGAUGCGAGCGUUAUCCGGAUUUAUUGGGUUUAAAGGGUGCGCAGGCGGGAGAUCAAGUCAGCGGUAAAAUGUCGGGGCUCAACCCCGGCCGGCCGUUGAAACUGGUUUUCUAGAGUUGGAGAGAAGUAUGCGGAAUUCGUGGUGUAGCGGUGAAAUGCAUAGAUAUCACGAAGAACUCCGAUUGCGAAGGCAGCAUACCGGCUCCAUACUGACGCUGAGGCACGAAAGCGUGGGGAUCGAACAGGAUUAGAUACCCGGGUAGUC
rnacentral:rRNA from 1 species